AGUUGCACAACUGCCUGGCAUGUGACUGGAGGUACUUUGCAGUCAUUGCUGGGAUUUCACUGAUGUGACCCCAACGCUGCCUCCCUCUCCACCCCACGAUGUUGGAAGAAACUCAACAGAGUAAAUUGGCUGUGGCCAAGAAAAAGUCUCAACGGGAAGCCAGGCCGAUGAGAACAGCCACUUGUCAUCAGGCUCUCCCUUUAGAAGUCACUGAAAGGGCCCCAGGAUGUGGUGAGGAGGGCCCCAGGCACUAGAAUUAAGAGAAGAACUAACUUGCCACCAGAUUGCUCGGUGACCACAGAAAAAUCACUUCUUCCCCUGGGCCUCAGUUUUCUCCUCUUCCUCGAGCCGCUGUGAAGCAGUCCUCAAGCGGCAGUUAUGGCAGUCCAUAAAGGCUCGGGCACAGCUGGAAGCACACGUGACACAGAUGUUGGAACAAGUCCAGCUAGAGACAGAUGAAUAUACUCAACAUCUAAAAGGAGAGAGGGCCCGGUGGCAGCAGAGGGUAUGGAAAAUGUCAGAGGAGGUUUGCACAUGGAAGGAGGAGAAGAAGCAUGACAGGCAUCGGGUACAGGAGCUGGAGAGGACUGAACCCCUGCCCCUGGAGCCCCCAGCAGGGCCCUCUGAGGUGGAACAGCAGCUACAAGCUGAGGCCGAGCACCCGAGGAAGGAGCAGGAGAGUCUGGCAGGACAGCUCCAAGCUCAGGUGCAAAACAAUCAAGGCUUGAGUCACCUGAACUGGGAGCAGGAGGAGAGGCUGCUGGAACGGGAGACGCUGCGGGAGCAGGAGAGGCUGCAGGAGCUGGAGGAGAAGCUGCAGGAGUAGGAGAGGCUGGGAGAGCGGGAGGAGAGUCUGCGGGAGCGGGAGGAGAGUCUGCGGGAGCGGGAGGAGAGGCUACGGGAGUGGGAGGAGAGGCUGCGGAGCAGGAGGACAGGCUGCUCGAGCUGGGGCGGAAAGCCAAGCUCUGGGAGGAGCAGGCAGAGACGUGCAUGCAGGCCCUGCGGAACCACACCACCAUCAACCACGUGCUCUCUCAGAACCAUGAGCUCGACUAGCAGCUGGCUGGGCCACAGAGCGGCUUAGAGGAGCUGGUGGCGUUUUUCAACUCCGCUGGAGCCAGUGCCCAGGAGGAGCAGGUAUGGCUUAUGUGGGCAGCUGAGGGAGCAAAGGGUGUGGUGCCAGCGCCUGACUCACCCGGGUGGCCUUGGCCCAGAAGGAGCCAGAGGUAGUGGAACCAGCCCCAGGGACUGGGGAUGAGUCUGUGUGUGGGUAGACUCAUCAGGCCCUGCAGGGAUCCAUGGAGAAGUUGCAGAGUGGCUUUAUGGACCUCCUGAAGGAGAAGGUGGACCUGAAGGAGUGGGUGGAGAAACUAGAGCUUCGAUCCAUCCACCUCUCAGGACAGGCAGACACCAUCAGAAAGUAAAUCACAACAUACGAGGGCCAGAGGGCAGCGCCAAAGACGCGGCACCAGGAGGAGGAGGACAUCAUCAGGCUGGCCCAGGACAAAGAGGAGAUGAAGAUGGGGCAUUGCAGCACCUCUGUGGGGGUGGGGGUGGGGUGGGUGUGAGCGUGGGCAGGGGCACUGGCACCAGCGUGGCAGCUGAGCACCCCUCCCUUCAGGUGAAACUGCUGGAGCUGCAGGAGCUGGUGUUGCGGCUUGCAGGCGAUCACAACGAGGGGCAUGGCAAAUUCCUGGCCGCUGCCCAGAACCCUGCUGAUGAUCCUGCUCCAGGGGCCCCAGCCCCUCAGGAGCUUGGGGCUGCUGACAAGCAGGGUGAUUUUUGUGAGGUGAGCCGACAGCCUGGAGCCUGCACCAGGAGAGGCCAGGGAGGGUUGUCCCCAUGACAACCCCACUGCACAGCAGCUCAUGCAGCUUCUUCCUGUGAUGCGGGACCCCCAGGAGUACCCAGGCUUGGGCAGCAGUCCCUGCAUGCCAUUCUUUUACCAGGCUGCCAAGAACAGGGAGCUAAACAUCACCAUCAUCUAAGAGCUGGUCAAGAAAUUAAAAAAGAAGAAAAAAAAGUUAUGGGGUUAAUCUCCUACACAAUUCAUUUACUUCAUUUGAAUGUU
rnacentral:lncRNA from 1 species